UGAAUCCUACGGGACGCAGCAGUGGGGAAUAUUGCACAAUGGGGGAAACCCUGAUGCAGCAACGCCGCGUGAGUGAAGAAGUAUUUCGGUAUGUAAAGCUCUAUCAGCAGGGAAGGAGAUGACGGUACCUGACCAAGAAGCCCCGGCUAACUACGUGCCAGCAGCCGCGGUAAUACGUAGGGGGCAAGCGUUAUCCGGAUUUACUGGGUGUAAAGGGAGCGCAGACGGCAGUGCAAGUCUGGAGUGAAAGCCCGGGGCCCAACCCCGGAACUGCUCUGGAAACUGUGCGGCUAGAGUACUGGAGG
rnacentral:rRNA from 1 species